CGCACCUCCGAAGGGAGAUUGCGGCGCUACCCUGACCUUGUGACGUCGAGUAAGAAAACCGAUUGGCCUGGGCUAAAUCAUCUAAAGAUCCUCGGAUUGCUGCAGGUCAGCAGUCCCCACUGGAGAAAAAGAUCUUGAAUCUAGGUGGCGUGCAUACAACAGCAGCAAGACAGUUGAUAACUCAGAGAUACCAAGAGGAGUAUGAAACACUCUGUAGGGAGCAAGCCCUUUCUCUUGACUACUGGCUUGCCAAAGCAGUCUUAUUAUAUUAAAAGAAUAGUGGAAAUGAUGAAAGAAGAAGAGACAGCUAAUAAAAUCAAGAAGAAAAUGGAGGGGAAAACAACCCAAAGCAUAGAAGGACUAAAACGGUACUAUUUGGUACGUGAGAGAGAGAAGAAACACACGGAGAGGCACAUAUAUCGAACAGGACAAGCCAGAGAACUUAAGAACAAAACAUUUAAACAAGUACUACGACCUCUCAGUGAAACAUCAUUACCAAAAAUUGUGCCAGAAGAGGACGGCAUCCACAAUGCACAGAGAAGAAAACAGGCAAAUGAGAGGGAACAGAUGCAAAUUAAAGAUCAUCAGGAACGCAUGAUUCGAGGGAGAGAACUUACAGAGCAAAGACUCAAAGAAAGAAUCUUGAGAAAAAGCCAGAGUCAGCUGCCUACACGUGAGAAGCGUGAAAGAGUAAAGAAAGGGAUAAAAGAGUUUGAAAGAGUUACUGCAUAUCCACUUUUCCAGCCACUCAGUACAAGUCGGAUUAAAGUGAAUAUUCUUAUGGAAAAGUCUCAGAAUGGAGAGGAAACAGAUGCAAUUAUAAAACCAUACCAGAGAAGAUUCUUGGCUGUGCCACCCUUUUUGAGAAGUCAGAUAGGAAAAAUAAAAGAUUAGCAAAGUUUCAGUGCUUUUCUGAUAAAAUCAUAUCGCUUAA